rnacentral:rRNA from 1 species
UCGAACGGAGCUUAGAGAGCUUGCUUUUAAGCUUAGUGGCGGACGGGUGAGUAACGCGUGGGUAACCUGCCUCACACAGGGGGAUAACAGUUGGAAACGACUGCUAAUACCGCAUAAGCCCACAGGUCGGCAUCGACCAGAGGGAAAAGGAGCAAUCCGCUUUGAGAUGGCCUCGCGUCCGAUUAGCUAGUUGGUGAGGUAACGGCCCACCAAGCCGACGAUCGGUAGCCGACCUGAGAGGGUGAUCGGCCACAUUGGGACUGAGACACGGCCCAAACUCC